rnacentral:tRNA from 1 species
GACUUUACUUUAAGAUGUUUUGAAAGCAUUUAAUAAGAUAAUACUUUAAAGUCU